ensembl:snRNA U1 U1 spliceosomal RNA
AUACUUAACCAUCAGGGGAGAUACCAUGGUCACGAGGGUGGUUUUCCCAGGGUGAGGCUUAUCCAAUGCAUUCUGGAUGUGCUGACCUGACCGCUGCUGAUUUCCACAAAUGUGAGAAACUCAACUGCACAAUUUGUGGUAGUGGGGGACUGUGUUCAAGCUCUCUCCUG